AUUGAACGCUGGCGGCAGACCUAACACAUGCAAGUCGAGCGGAUGAAGGUAGCUUGCUACCUGAUUCAGCGGCGGACGGGUGAGUAAUGCCUCGUACUCUGCCUGGUCGUGGGGGACAACGUUUCGAUAGGAACGCUAAUACCGCAUACGUCCUACGGGUGAAAGCGGGGGAUCUUCGGACUUCACGCUAUCAGAUGACCCUAGGUACGAUUAGCCAGUUGGUGGGGUAAAGGCUCACCAAGGCGACGAUCGUUAACUGGGCUGAGAGGAUGAUCAGUCACACUGUAACUGAGACACGGUCCAGACUCCUACGGGAGGCAGCAGUGGGGAAUAUUGGACAAUGGGCGAAAGCCUGAUCCAGCCAUGCCGCGUGUGUGAAGAAGGUCUUCGGAUUGUAAAGCACUUUAAGUUGGGAGGAAGGGCAGUAAGUUAAUACCUUGCUGUUUUGGCGUUACCGACAGAAUAAGCACCGGCUAACUUCGUGCCAGCAGCCGCAGUAACAC
rnacentral:rRNA from 1 species